AGAGUUUGAUCCUGGCUCAGGAUGAACGCGGCGGCGUGCCUAACACAUGCAAGUCGAACGAAGCACUUUUGAUUGAUUCUUCGGAAGAAAGAGAUUGUGACUGAGUGGCGGACGGGUGAGUAACGCGUGGGUAACCUGCCUCAUACAGGGGGAUAACAGUUAGAAAUGACUGCUAAUACCGCAUAAGACCACGGAGUCGCAUGACUCAGUGGGAAAAACUCCGGUGGUAUGAGAUGGACCCGCGUCUGAUUAGCUGGUUGGUGGGGUAACGGCCCACCAAGGCGAUGACGGGUAGCCGGUCUGAGAGGAUGUCCGGCCACACUGGAACUGAGACACGGUCCAGACACCUACGGGUGGCAGCAGUCGAGAAUCAUUCACAAUGGGGGAAACCCUGAUGGUGCGACGCCGCGUGGGGGAGGAAGGUCUUCGGAUUGUAAACCCCUGUCAUGUGGGAGCAAGGCGCAAGCUUGAUAGUACCACAAGAGGAAGAGACGGCAAACUCUGUGCCAGCAGCCGCGGUAAUACAGAGGUCUCAAGCGUUGUUCGGAAUCACUGGGCGUAAAGGGUACGUAGGCGGCAACAUAAGUCGUGCGUGAAAGGCAGGGGCUCAACCUCUGGAGUGCGCAUGAUACUGUGGGGCUAGAGUAAUGGAGGGGGAACCGGAAUUCUUGGUGUAGCAGUGAAAUGCGUAGAUAUCAAGAAGAAGACUCGUGGCGAAGGCGGGUUCCUGGACAUUUACUGACGCUGAGGUACGAAGGCUAGGGUAGCGAAAGGGAUUAGAUACCCCUGUAGUCCUAGCAGUAAACGGUG
rnacentral:rRNA from 1 species